CUGAUGGUUUAAUCCAACUGGAAGAGAAUCUUUGGCCUGUCAAUGACAAAAUGGUUUAUAAAGAAGAAAAAAUAAAUACCAUAUACAAGUUAUCAUUAUAUUUUUCAUCUUUGAUCUCCCGCUCUUCCUUCCGGAUCCUCACAGCAUGGUAUCGGGGAACGCUAUCAUCGUACCUAGAGCGUUUAAAGAAUCCGCACUGACGAAGGGGAAAGAGAAACAGAAACAAACUAAGUAUCUCAAGAAAAGCAAAUGCACAAAAUGGGAAUGUCUAAGCUUUCUGUUCAGCUACGCCUACCUUUGGAUGAAGGGGAAAAAAUAAACAUGGUUUAAGAAGGAACUAGUAGGUCCAAAAGACAUACCAGCAGUGGGGAUAAACAGAAGAGAAGACAGCUGUAACAUUGGAAGAAAAGUCCGUUUUUCCAUUGUGUCUCUACUAACAAACUUAAGAGUUAUGGAAAAAUGCUUCCAUUUUUUAUAAUCACAAUAUUAUAUGUUAAAGAUCUAAUUUUCAGGUUAAAAAGAUUGGUCUUUAAAAAUGAUAUUCUAAUAAAGGCCAUAAACCAAAGAUUAUUCAUACCCCUUUCCCACUAACAAAAUGGAAUCAGAUCACAAAUAUUUUACAAAUUACUACUUAAAUAUGCCAGUGUUCAAAUGGGCCAAUUUAAGAAUCUUCUCUCCUCCAAGGCUCAGCACAUAUCUCUCAUUAGCUACCAGGCAAUUUAUACUGCCUGGAUUUCCUGUUGUGCUUAUAAAUUAAGCUGUUUCAUUAAUAAAUCAUGUAGUAACUGUGUCCUGUAAUAAAAUCAAUUGUGUACCACAAAGAACUUGAGGACAGUAGCACUACAUUGAAUUUCUGAGCACCCCUGAUUUUUUUGGCAAAGGAAAUUUAACACUUAAAUUAUUAAUAUAUAUUUUAUUCAUUUUUUAAAAAAUAUUCAAUCUAAUCGAAAGUAGAUUUUUAUUGAGAACAUAUUAGGAAGUUUUUUACUCAAACUGAAUUUUUAAAAUGAAUAAAAUAUACGUUUAAUGAAACAGAUGUGUUUUCAAUUUAAAAAUGCAGAUAGAGGGAAGAUGAGGAAGACAGUUGGAAGGGUCAAUUUGUAUCACGUAACAGGAAUGGAACAUUUAGAUGUUAUAAAAGUGCCACAGGGGAAAGUAAAAUUAUAUCCAGGCAUCACUAAAUCAGUAGGAAAAACUGACCAAGACAUUUUGUUCUAAGGCCAUUUCUACAUUGGACUCCAUAAUUAUUCUGUGCAAAAAGCCAAAAUACCUAUCAGUUACAAAAUGUGGCUCUUCAUUUAGACAAAGGAGGAAAUCAAGGGUGGUAUGUAAAACUGAAAUGGAAAUGCUGGGGUUCAUCAUGACAAUGCCAUGGAAAGGGAUUAUGGAGUCUAUCCUCUCAUGCCCAGAGAAAUGGAAAAAGGAAUUAUCACCAAUUCCUGUUUCCAUGGAUCUACACACAAGAGAAGCAAAAUACAUGAACUUAAAAUCAAGAACCAAAGUUGAAUAAAAUCUCUAGGAACAUGAAACAAGAUCAAACUCCAUUACAACAACAUUGAAAUAGUAACUGUCCAGAGCAUUUUUAUAUUAGAAUUUUGCAUAAUGAAGGUCACUUUAGUAUAGAACCAUCUUCUGAAACUGGCCAUCAUGUCCACCAUGUCAACAACAGUCAUAGUUUGUUGUAAUGGUCUUUGACCUGUAGUAGAUAAGCAGGAAAAGGAAGUUGCAUGCUUAGCUAGCAUAAAACAAUUUC